rnacentral:rRNA from 1 species
GCUGCGACAGUAAUCCAACUCAGUACGAGAGGAACCGUUGGGUGGUCUGAAUGGUUUAUUCGGUUGGUUGACAGGCCAGCGCCGAGAAGCUGUCAGUCCUGGGAUAACGGCUGAACGCCUCUAAGCCGGAAGCCCUGCUGAAAAUUGAUGUGUUUCUGGAAUGCUUGUUUUGGAUUUGUUGUAGGCCUUGCGCUUUUGUGCUUGGUCGCUAUAUCAUAUCUUGCUGCUGUUUGGUUGUUGGUGCUGGUCGCCUUCUUCCUUGAGCGGUGUAUCAUAAGAUGACUCUUAUGCAUUCCCUUCGAUCUCUUGUAGACGACUUGUUCAUGGAACGCCGUCAUGUAAGUGAGCGAGUAGGCCCGUCCUACGAGCCGCUGAGUGU